rnacentral:rRNA from 1 species
UAAGGAAUAUUGGUCAAUGGACGCAAGUCUGAACCAGCCAUGCCGCGUGAAGGAUUAAGGCCCUCUGGGUUGUAAACUUCUUUUAUAGGGGAAGAAAUGUGACGGUUCUCCGUCACUUGACGGUACCCUGGGAAUAAGCACCGGCUAACUCCGUGCCAGCAGCCGCGGUAAUACGGAGGGUGCAAGCGUUAUCCGGAUUCACUGGGUUUAAAGGGUGCGUAGGUGGGCAGAUAAGUCAGUGGUGAAAUCUUCCGGCUUAACUUGGAAACUGCCGUUGAUACUAUAGGUCUUGAAUUAUCUGGAGGUGAGCGGAAUAUGUCAUGUAGCGGUGAAAUGCUUAGAUAUGACAUAGAACACCAAUUGCGAAGGCAGCUUACUACAUAUAAAUUGACGCUGAGGCACGAAAGCGUGGGGAUCAAACA